AGUCGAGUACUACCACCACCAUC
rnacentral:siRNA from 1 species